GGGGCAGCAUUUCAGUUUGCUUGCAAACUGGAGAUGGCGACCGGCGCACGGGUGAGUAACACGUAUCCAACCUGCCGAUAACUCGGGGAUAGCCUUUCGAAAGAAAGAUUAAUACCCGAUGGUAUAAUCAGACCGCAUGGUCUUGUUAUUAAAGAAUUUCGGUUAUCGAUGGGGAUGCGUUCCAUUAGGCAGUUGGUGAGGUAACGGCUCACCAAACCUUCGAUGGAUAGGGGUUCUGAGAGGAAGGUCCCCCACAUUGGAACUGAGACACGGUCCAAACUCCUACGGGAGGCAGCAGUGAGGAAUAUUGGUCAAUGGGCGCAGGCCUGAACCAGCCAAGUAGCGUGAAGGAUGACUGCCCUAUGGGUUGUAAACUUCUUUUAUAUGGGAAUAAAGUUUUCCACGUGUGGAAUUUUGUAUGUACCAUAUGAAUAAGGAUCGGCUAACUCCGUGCCAGCAGCCGCGGUAAUACGGAGGAUCCGAGCGUUAUCCGGAUUUAUUGGGUUUAAAGGGAGCGUAGGUGGACAGUUAAGUCAGUUGUGAAAGUUUGCGGCUCAACCGUAAAAUUGCAGUUGAUACUGGCUGUCUUGAGUACAGUAGAGGUGGGCGGAAUUCGUGGUGUAGCGGUGAAAUGCUUAGAUAUCACGAAGAACUCCGAUUGCGAAGGCAGCUCACUGGACUG
rnacentral:rRNA from 1 species